CACUGACGAGUUUGAUCAUGGCUCAGAUUGAACGUUGGCGGCAGGCCUAAUACAUGCAAGUCGAACGGCAGCACAGAGAGCUUGCUCUUGGGUGGCGAGUGGCGGACGGGUGAGUAACGCGUAGGAAUCUACCCAGUAGCGGGGGAUAGCCCGGGGAAACUCGGAUUAAUACCCGCAUACGCCCCACGGGGGAAAGGCCGGGAUCUUCGGACCGGUCACUAUUGGAGGAGCCUGCGUUGGAUUAGCUUGUUGGUGGGGUAAAGGCCUACCAAGGCUACGAUCCAUAGCUGGUCUGAGAGGACGAUCAGCCACACUGGAACUGAGACACGGUCCAGACUCCUACGGGAGGCAGCAGUAGGGAAUAUUGUGCAAUGGGCGAAAGCCUGACACAGCCCAUGCCGCGUGUGUGAAGAAGGCCCUAGGGUUGUAAAGCACUUUCAGUAGGGAGGAAUUAGUAGGGUUAAUAACCUUAUGAAAUGACGUUACCUACAGAAGAAGUACCGGCUAACUCCGUG
rnacentral:rRNA from 1 species